UUUUAAAUAAAGACUAGAACAAACGAUUUAACAUUUCAAAAAUUCUCUUCUACUCUCCCUUUAAACUUACUUUAAAUGUUAAAAAACAUUUAUAUUAUAGAAAGACGACAAGACCCUAUUGAACUUAACUUAAGUUAAACUGGGGCAGUAAAUUCAAAUAUUACUUUUUAAUAAAAUUUUGAAAAAAUUAACCAAAAUUUAUGAUCAAAUCAGUUACCAUAGGGAUAACAGCGUUAUAAUAUUUAAUAGAUCAAAUAAAAAAUAUAUUUUACGACCUCGAUGUUGAAUUAAUAACCUUUACUAAGCAAAAAUAAAAAAAGGAGGUCUGUUCGACCUUUAAAAAAUUACAUGAUUUGAGUUCAGACCGGUGUAAACCAGGUCGGUUUCUAUCUUCUAUCAAUUUUUCUACAGUACGAAAGGACCUAAGAAUUUUAAAUAAUUUCUUAUUAGCAAACAAAUGCAUUAGAAUUAGAAUCUAAAAAAACUUAC
rnacentral:rRNA from 1 species